rnacentral:misc_RNA from 1 species
GAUGAAGAACGUAGCGAAAUGCGAUAAGUAAUGUGAAUUGCAGAAUUCAGUGAAUCAUCGAAUCUUUGAACGCACAUUGCGCCCGCCAGUAUUCUGGCGGGCAUGCCUGUUCGAGCGUCAUUACAACCCUCAGGCCCCCGGGCCUGGCGUUGGGGAUCGGCGGAAGCCCCCUGUGGGCACACGCCGUCCCUCAAAUACAGUGGCGGUCCCGCCGCAGCUUCCAUUGCGUAGUAGCUAACACCUCGCAACUGGAGAGCGGCGCGGCCAUGCCGUAAAACACCCAACUUCUGAAUGUUGACCUCGAAUCAGGUAGGAAUACACGCUGAACUUAAGCAUAUCAAUAAGCGGAGGA